rnacentral:rRNA from 1 species
UACGUAGGGUGCAAGCGUUGUCCGGAAUUAUUGGGCGUAAAGAGCUCGUAGGCGGUCUGUCGCGUCUGCUGUGAAAACUCGGGGCUUAACCCCGGGCCUGCAGUGGGUACGGGCAGACUAGAGUGUGGUAGGGGAGACUGGAAUUCCUGGUGUAGCGGUGAAAUGCGCAGAUAUCAGGAAGGAACACCCGAGUCGGAAGGCGGCU